rnacentral:rRNA from 1 species
AUGGACAGCCAUUCACCAGCGCAAGACCACCAACGGGAAUACAAGGGAGGUGCAGCAAUAUGGGAGGCCCCGGAGCUAGGUUGGGUCAAAGCUAAUGCCGAUGGUGCCGUGUCCAGGCUUGGAGGAAAGGGCGGUGGCGGGGUCAUUCUCAGAGGUGACCAAGGCGAUUUCCGUGCGGCCGCAUGCACGUUCAUUGAUGGAGUCGUGGACGCCGAGACGGCGGAGCUCAUGGCAUGCAGGAGGGCGGUUCAGCUAGCUGGAGAGAUCAACGUCCAGAGACUACACCUCGAGACAGACAACAUGGAGGUGGCGAGCAUGCUUGCAGACACGAACAAGAACCUUUCGGCUUCCAGGACCAUGUGUCGAGGAGAUCAAGCAGAUGUUCCAUGGCUUCAACAAGGUGAAAGUGUCGUGGGUACGACGGUUCGCUAA